rnacentral:rRNA from 1 species
CCCUUAGAUGUUCUGGGCUGCACGCGUGCUACAAUGGCGUUUCCAGCAAGUCUGCGAACCCGAGAGGGCCAGCGGAUCUUCGAAUUGGCGUCGUGAUCGGGACAGUCGAUUGCAAUUAUUUGACUCAAACGAGGAAUUCCUUGUAAUCGCGAUUCAUCAUAUCGCGCUGAAUACGUCCCUGCCCUUUGUACACACCGCCCGUCGCUCCUACCGAUUGAGCGAUCCGGUAAAUGUUUUGGAUUGGUGCCGGGGCAGCUAGCUGCCGGUCGCUACGAAAUUUUGUGAACCUUAUCGCUUAGAGGAAGGAAAAGUCGUAACA